AUUGAACGCUGGCGGCAGGCCUAACACAUGCAAGUCGAGCGGAUGAGUGGAGCUUGCUCCAUGAUUCAGCGGCGGACGGGUGAGUAAUGCCUAGGAAUCUGCCUGGUAGUGGGGGACAACGUUUCGAAAGGAACGCUAAUACCGCAUACGUCCUACGGGAGAAAGUGGGGGAUCUUCGGACCUCACGCUAUCAGAUGAGCCUAGGUCGGAUUAGCUAGUUGGUAAGGUAAAGGCUCACCAAGGCGACGAUCCGUAACUGGUCUGAGAGGAUGAUCAGUCACACUGGAACUGAGACACGGUCCAGACUCCUACGGGAGGCAGCAGUGGGGAAUAUUGGACAAUGGGCGAAAGCCUGAUCCAGCCAUGCCGCGUGUGUGAAGAAGGUCUUCGGAUUGUAAAGCACUUUAAGUUGGGAGGAAGGGCAGUAAGUUAAUACCUUGCUGUUUUGACGUUACCAACAGAAUAAGCACCGGCUAACUUCGUG
rnacentral:rRNA from 1 species